UGAAUUCCUCUGAAAGUUGGAACAUGUUC
rnacentral:piRNA from 1 species